GGCCGGUUAGCUCAGUCAGUUGAGCAUAGCGCUAACAACGCUGUCACGGGUUCGAUUCCCUUUCGGUCC
rnacentral:tRNA from 1 species